rnacentral:rRNA from 1 species
UACGUAGGGACCAAGCGUUGUUCGGAUUUACUGGGCGUAAAGGGCGCGUAGGCGGCAAUUCAAGUCAUCUGUGAAAUCUCCGGGCUUAACUCGGAAUGGUCAGGUGAUACUGCUUUGCUAGAGUGCAGGAGGGCAAUCGGAAUUCUUGGUGUAGCGGUGAAAUGCGUAGAUAUCAAGAGGAACACCUGAGGUGAAGACGGGUUGCUGGGCUGACACUGACGCUGAGGCGCGAAAGCUAGGGGAGCAAACGGG